GGCUUCAGUCAGCGCAGCUGUGCAUUACUGUCAUCUUCUUAAAGGAGAAAGCUGGGCUAGGUGAUCUGCUCAAGUUCUGAUUUGAAAAGCUGUGAUUCUAUGGCCCGCUCUAUCCUGCUUUGUAGACUUGGUGGAUAGUUCUAGGAACAAGCCCUGAGUUUGCUCAGCACUUUUUGAAAAUCCCAAGGACAGAGGAACCUGGUGGGCUAUAGUCCAUGGGUUCACAAAGAGACACGACUGAGGAACUCCGCGCACAUGCUCGCAUGAUCCAAUAUAGCUAGUCUUCCUACAAGAUAGCCUGGUGAGACAGAAACACACAGGGAGGAGGUUUUGUGACGAAGAAGGCAGAGACUGGAGUGUGAAGCAGCUGGGAGUGAAGGAAUGCCAAGGAUUGCCAGAAUUCACCAGGAGCUGGAGAGAGGAGACAUCAGCUUGAUCCCUGGUCUGGGAAGAUGCCACAUGCCGCAGAGCAAGGAAACCUGAGUGCCUAAACGACUGAGUCCAUGUGCACAACUACGGAUGCGCAUGCGCCGUGGAGGCCGAGCUCUACAGCAAGCCUCUGCAAUGAGAAGCCCGCCACCACCAGCAGAGGAGGCCCGCGUGCAGCCAAAAAUAAAAUAAACGAACACUUUCUCAAAGUGGAUAGGAAUGAGACAAGGUAUCGGGAUGAUGACUCUAGACAAAGCCAUCUGAUUUGCCCACUUCUCAGGGGCUGAACCUAAGCUUUGCUGGAGAAUCAGAGCACGUGAAGAAGAUACAGUUAUCCAAGACUCACAUUCACUACGGGAAGAUCAGAUUGUGCCCUCGUGGGCAGGUGCUGGGGAGAAUCCAUUAUGCACUGGUCAGCUUCUACCCUUGCAGGGACGUCUGUUGUUCUGCGAUCCCGGCAGCUGACGCCUCUUAUGGAAACAGAACCCUCGCCUCCUCCGGGAUCGGCCACUGUCUUGCACCGCAUACUUCCUUCUGCCUUAAGCACAGGUCUGCUCCCCUCACAGCACAGAUUUCUGUCCUCUCCUGAAAGCUCAGAAGACCUGGCGGUAAGAAGAGCCCUGCCUCACAUGAGAAGAGUGGCCUGGGGCUCAGCAUCAGAGUGCUCCUUAAGUGGGACAUUGCUCUCCCAUCUCCACCAGCCCUGCUGCCUCGCACGUUCCACUCACCUGAGCCUGCCGGUGGGUGAGGCGAGAGUGCGGGUGAGGAUAAAACAUCCAAAUGAUCACCUGAGAGGUCCGUUUCUUGGCCAGAUGUGGUACCAUUUAGGUGCACCUACUAUCAGCUCAUCUAAUCCUCCCAGCAACUCUAGAAGAUAAGCACCAGCGUCAUCACCAUCGAGUCUCAGACAAUUAAAGGGCGUGCAGACAGAAACUGAAGCUCACACAAGUGCCCUGCAGGGAACCUUCCCAGUCUUCGAAUUCCCUCUGCAGAGGUCAGCAAAUUAGACUUAGUCAAACCUUCUUCCCAUCCCCGCCAGUGCUAUUGAACAUGGCCAUGCCCACUCAUUUCCAGAUUUUCUACCCACUGCUACUGCUGCUUUCGAACUACAAUUGUAGAACUGUGUAGCCGUGUGACAGACUAUGUAGCCUGUUAAGACUAAAAUAUUUAUUAGCUGGCUCUUUACAGGAAAAAUUUGCCAACCCCUGGCCUGAGCCUUUGUACGUUUGAAUAUUUAAAAGGGGCUUUAAGAUGCCAUCCACCAUCUCCUCCUCCUAGAAAGAAUGAAAUAUAAACAAUACCACACUGAUCUUUAUC
ensembl:lncRNA